rnacentral:lncRNA from 1 species
GGUGAACCACCAUGCCUGGCACCCCCUCAGCUUUAUUAAGGUCUGUUCGAGGCUAAAUUGUUUUCCUCAAAAUUGCAUAUGUUGAAGCUCUAACCCUCCCCAACCGUAGAAUGUGACUGUAUUGGAGAUGGGACCUUCGAAAAGUUGAUUAAGGCAGAAUAAGGCGUUAGACUGGGCCCUAAUCUAAUCUGACUGGUAUCCUUAUAAGAAGAGGACAUUGAGAUUCACGGAGACACCAAGAUUUGCACGUAGAGGAAAGACCCUGUGGGAACGCACCAAGAAGGCAGCCAUCUGCAACCCAAGGAGGGAGGCCCCAGGAAAAGGCCCCUGCCGCCAUCUUGAUCCAGGACUUCCGCCAUCUUGACCCAGGACUGCUACUCUCCCAAGCAGUGAGAAAAAUCCAUUUCUGUUGUUUAAGCCACUCAGCCUGUGGCAUUUUGUUAUGGCAGCUCCAAUUGGAGAAGUGACGACGCUGAGUGGACAGAAGUAGAAUGAAAAACUCAACCUGUGAAGCACCCUGAUGUACCAAAUGACUUUUUUUUUUUCUUUUUGAGAUGGAGUCUUGCUCUGUUGCCCAGGCUGGAGUGAU